rnacentral:ncRNA from 2 species
GCCCGGAUAGCUCAGUCGGC